GACUGGAGCAGAGUGAGAAGAGGCUAAGGCAGCAGCAGGCAGAGAAGGAUUCACAGAUCAAGAGCAUCAUUGGCAGGCUGAUGCUGGUGGAGGAGGAGCUGCGCCGGGACCACCCCGCCAUGGCUGAGCCGCUGCCAGAACCCAAGAAGAGGCUGCUCGACGCUCAGGUGGAAAUUACAAUGUCAUUUAUCUUCUCCGUGUCCCAUCCCCAUCCAUCCCACUGUCUUUCGUGCACUCACUACACCAGCCACCUAGCCCCAUCACCAUCUGUCUCUCAUAGUCUGCUGUUUGUCCACUGGCUGCUCCUGGCAGCCCCCUAGUGACCCCAUCUUCAUCCCAUCGUCUGUGCCUUUGUCACUCCUGGCAGCGUCAGCCCAACUCCUGUGCCUUCUCA
rnacentral:sRNA from 1 species